UUGGGAUUUUGGUUUAUUUUUUUUUUCAUGUAUGGUUUAGUUGUUUUAAAGAAUAGGAAUUUGGCAGUGGUUAAAUUUAUUAAUUUAGUAAUUUAAGAUUUAGAAAUUGAUUUUAAUUUUAAUGAAAUUUGUGCCAGCAAUUGCGGUUAUACAAAUAAUGUGAUUAAAAGUUUUUGGUUAAAUAAUUAGUUAUUGGAAUAGUUGGUUAGUGAGAUAUUGAAUUUAUUGGGUGAAAUUUUUAAAUUUGAUUAAGCUAAAUUAAUUUUUACGAGGUUGUGAAAAUUUUAAAUUAAACUAGGAUUAGAUACCCUAUUAUUAGAAUUGUAAAUUAAUAUACCUGAUUAUUAGUAGAUUAUUUUCUUGAAAAUUAAAGAUUUUGGCGGUAUUUUAGUCUAUUCAGAGGAACCUGUCCUGUAAUUGAUAGUCCACGAUUAACUUUACUUUUCUUAUUAGUUUGUAUAUCAUCGUGAUUGAAUAUUUUAGGAAAAUUUUAAUAUUCAAUAAGUAUAAUUAUAAUUAAUGUCAGAUCAAGGUGCAGUUUAUGGGAAAGAAGAGAUGGGUUACAAUAAAUUUAUUUAUGGUUUAAGUAAGGAAUAAUUAUUUAUUAAAUUGGAUUUGAUUGUAAUAUUUUCUAGUUAGUAGAUGUGAUUUUGGCUCUAAAAUAUGUACAUAUUGCCCGUCGCUCUCAUUUAAGGUGAGAUAAGUCGUAACAUAGUAGAUGUACUGGAAAGUGUAUCUAGAAAGA
rnacentral:ncRNA from 1 species